AGCUUUGCAGAUGAAUAACUGCUGCGGAGAGAAGCCUGAGAAAACAGGAUGAAGAUUCUAUGUGUGUUGAUUUGGCAACACAGAAUAACGUUGUACAGAAUUUUUCAAAGAGACCCUGAAGAGAUUGCUCCUUUGGUAAAGCGUUUGCUGUGGUAAAAUGGAAACCUGAUCACCAGCACCUACAAAAGAAGCCGGGCAUAGUGGCACAGGCCUCUCAUCCCAGCGUUCAGAUGAUGGAGACUAAUGGAUCCCUGAGGCUUGCUGGUCUACCAGCCUCAAGUAGACUCAUUGAGCACCAGAAGCUGCAGAGAAUGGAAGCAUCAUGGAGAAAAUGGCAGGGAGACCCAAGACUCCAAGACAAGAAGGAUGAAGUAAAAGAAGCAAUCAGGAAAGAAGCAUUGCUGUCCAUGGGCAGAACUAUCCCAGGAAGUUAAUCGCGAUAAACACAAGCGCCAAGCAGCGUCCCCUCUGUGUCUCUCCCUGCCUGGAGAUCCGUACUGAAAUCACUGCGGGCAUCUGACUGCU
ensembl:lncRNA